AUUGAACGCUGGCGGCAGGCCUAACACAUGCAAGUCGAGCGAGCGGCGGACGGGGGUGAAAAGUCUGGGAAAAUGCCCGAUGGAGGGGGAGAACAACUGGAAACGGUAGCUAAUACCGCAUACCAUCAGAUGUGCCCAGAUGGGAGUAGCUAGUAGGUGGGGUAAUGGCGCACCUAGGCGACGAUCCCUAGCUGGUCUGAGAGGAUGACCAGCCACACUGGAACUGAGACACGGCCCAGACUCCUACGGUAGGCAGCAGUGGGGAAUAUUGCACAAUGGGCGAAAGCCUGAUGCAGCCAUGCCGCGUGUAUGAAGAAGGCCUUCGGGUUGUAAAGUACUUUCAGCGGGGAGGCGUUACCCGCAGAAGAAGCACCGGCUAACUCCGUGCCAGCAGCCGCGGUAAUAC
rnacentral:rRNA from 1 species